GUUGAAAAAACACUGGAUUUUGAAUCCAGGGACCUGGGUUUGAAUCCUUG
rnacentral:tRNA from 1 species